UACGAGCGCGGCCGCCUAGCGCGAAGCCUUCGCUACCACGGCCGCUCCAACGGUAUACGCGCGCUCUGAUUGGUCGGCGUUUUCUGUUAAUAUCUCCUCAACGAAGCCUCGGACGACAUUUUCGCUAAGGAAAAAGUUGUUUCAAAUCACCUCCCGAACCACCCCUUUCGAGGUAUUACAACAUUUUUGGGACACUCUGUAUACCGAAAUCGAUUUCUUCCUACGAAUCAAUUUUCUCGCGAAUCGAAGGUAUCUAUAGAACUAUAAAUUCAGCGACGCAUGUGUGUUAGAAAACAUUAGGGAGUGGUUUGAUUUUAAAAGUUGUUCUCCGUGGAUUUUAACGACAAUGUGAUGUUGAAAUCUACGAAUACUUGAUUUCAUUUCUGGCACGUGUAGUAUCGACUCGGUAACAGAAACGUCGACGUUAUCGACCGUCUUGCGCGACUUUUCCUUGGGUUAUUUGGGAAAAAUAGUUUCGCGUUGAGAACGCAGCUCUGACAGGGGCCAAAGAAUUGGUAAACGAUAUUGAUCUAACAAUUUCGUUGGCGGUAAUGAGUGCACGCGAGAGAUAUGUAACUUGAUUAACUGUGCUAUAUAAUUACUUUAACACGAUUGGUAAGGUUUUUCGCGUAGAUGCACGUACAUGGUUCUGGCAGACAGCCUGUCAGACUAAUUCCCAGUUAUCGAUUCCACGCAUACGUGGAAACGCACCGUUGUGUUGCAUUCGUAGGGUGGGUGAACUGUGUAUUUCUUACACACCAGUUCACCAAAAUAUGUUACAGGGAACAGACGACUCUAAUCGAAAUAUUUUGUCUUUCUCAUUUUAGAAAUACCGUGAAAAUUACUCAACGCGGGUAGUAUUAAUUUUGUUUACAAUUACUACGAAAGGGGUCACUCGAUAUUAAAAUACAUGUUGAGUAGUGAAUAGGUUAGAUUAAGGCACUCGCAGUUAAUAAUUGUUCGAAACAUCAGCGCUGGAUGCGAAUUUGAAAUAAUAAUGCAAGACCGAAAUGUGUCGGUAGAGGUACCGUAGCUAAGGGCGAAACAUCAAAGGGUGGAUUCCUUAUCCUGGAGGAUCUGAAAGGCGACGGCUGGCUGACCGAGGAAAAGAAAGGUGGAUCGUGGCGCGUGCCACGCGAAGGGUGACCACACGGAGGAUCCUUUAUUUUGUGGAAGAUCGUCCGCAUGACACGAGCGUCCACGUAUUCCUUUCACCCAGGAACAAUGGGGGUCGUGUCCGAAGGACGUAUCACCUCACAGCCAAGGGAGAAGAUGCCAGAAUAUCAAGACCAUCCACGGUCCAAGCUAAGGCGACAACAAAAGGAGAAAGGAGGUACGCAGGAGGGUCAUAGGCGACUCGCGUGUACCAGCAAGUCACAACCAUCCAGCGAAGGCAUUACUCACAGCGCAACUGAAGUUUAUGGCUUUACAUAGCGCACCUCAAUUAUUGUGAAGUCCUAGGCUUCCAGGAAUAAGAAAUACAGUAUUUGGUUGCA